rnacentral:rRNA from 1 species
AAUCAACGCUGGCGGCGUGCCUAACACAUGCAAGUCGAACGCGAAAGCCCCUUCGGGGGCAAGUAGAGUGGCGUCCGGGUGAGUAACACGUGGGUAAUCUACCUCCGGGUGGGGAAUAACUCGCCGAAAGGCGGGCUAAUACCGCAUAAUGCAGCGGCACCGAAUGGUGAUUAGUUGUUAAAGCGGGGACCUUAGGGCCUCGCGUCUGGGAGAGGAGCCUGCGGCAGAUUAGCUUGUUGGUAGGGAAUGGCCUACCAAGGCUGCGAUCUGUAGCUGGUCUGAGAGGACGGCCAGCCACACUGGCACUGACACACGGGCCAGACUCCUACGGAGGCAGCAGUGGGGAAUUUUGGGCAAUGGGCGAAAGCCUGACCCAGCAACGCCGCGUGAAGGAGGAAAUCCUU